UGUGACUUUUGAGUGCAACUGCCAACUAAAUGUCACAAAGAGACAUUUUUUUAUAAAAAUUUUAUACAUAUUUAUUUUUUCCGGAGGUAUUUUCUAGGCAUGUGUCACCACAACCUGCAACUUGUUUUAUUUUUUUGCAGAGGAGCCUCAAAUUGACUUAUGCACGGACUUUUUUUUGUUGUUGUUGUUGAGAUUUUAAGGGAAUUUUUCUCAUUUGAACACGCUCACAACCUGCUGAGUACUAUACCAUAUGGAUUUGGGACGCAACUCCUCUCUGUGUAGUUUCUUUCCACUCCAGUAUGAGAGAAAACCUUAUUUUUUUAUGUAUCAUGCAUGAACACCCUUAUGUGGGAUUGUUGUUCUCAUCCAGCAUGGAGUUAAAAUAGGCAUUCAGAAAAAAGUUUUCAGUCAGAGGAAGAGGAAGUCGGAAAGUCGCACCAAACUCCAUGCAGUAAACCUCAGCUUUUGGACUUCACUCUUUCCCCUUAUUUGCUUGGUUUAUUUGCACCAUCCCCUCUUCAAAUAUUCCCAGGAUCUUCUUUCACCAAAACACACUCAUGGUGUGUUGUGUGAAUUGAAGGAUUUUACCUAAUAAACGAGAUUAAGAGAGAUUGAGUGAGAUAAAGUCUUAUAUGUAUGACAUUUUUAUAUUAAGCAUACGUGCCUUUGUGUGUGUGUAUGAGUGCGUGUGUCUCUUUGUCUGUGUGUGUUUGUGAGUGUGUGUUCACCUUUCCUGGGUGUGUCCUAAAAGAAGGAGGUUGAAGUGCAAGGCAUGAAUCUUCCACAGCGGAUCUGCUCAUGAAGUCUUUUCUGUUUCUCCUCUCAAUUCCUGGAUACUGUGCGUGUUAAGAUAAUCUGCCGGUCCAGUGGAGGAACCAAUCCUGGUUGAUCUCAAAGAUGACUUCAUCACCCUUUGUCUGGUAUUUCAGCUGUGGGAGUGAGCUAGAACCCGUAUCACUGUAACGGCAACAGCGGAGACAGCGGCCGAAGGUUAUCAGGGGAGAGUGCGGGGGAACUGGACCAAUGGUGUCUUGACCCUGGGGCCAGUGGAGGCGAAAGACAGGGGGUAUUAUUAUGCGACCAUGGUUACUCCUGAAAGGAUAACGACAGGAGAGACCAUGCUGUCCUGAGUCCCGGGAUGGUACAUCCAGUACUCUGACUAUCCAUGGUAUUCAGGCCUCAGACCUGGUUGGCUCCAUCUACUGCACAGCUGGCAACCAUCUGGAGGUGGAGAAGAGUGCCCCCUUCGACCUCACGGUUCCCCGCCUGACUGCCAGCAUGUAACCUGACUAUGUGACAGAAGGACAAAAUGUGACUCUAACAUGUGACGCAUCCUGAAAACUGUCCAGGCUGACCCCAUUUGUGUGGUUUGGAAAUGGGCAACCAAUGGCCAAACCACCCCAUUUCCAGGCCGGUGCAUUGGAUGCUGGUGCAAUGUACAUGUGCUGUUGAAAGCCAGGAGUCAGUGUAGAGCAAAUACUGUGUUUCUGGAUGUUCAGUGUGAGCAUAUUAAUGAGACAAUUUUAUUCUUUUAUUUCAUUUAUUCAUUUAAUUGAAUAUGCCAAUUUAAUCAAAGUAAAUCUGUUUGGAAUCUGUAGAAACUAUUUCACUAAAUUUUUCUUCAUUAUUGUAAGAUUUCACGUUUUCAAUCUGGUUGGCAAGAGAUACAUUCAGUUGUCAGUUUAUUAGGAACAUCUAGCUAAAACUGCAUAAUCAUUUUGGAAGCUGAAAUUUGUCGUGCUGUUGAAUUGUAUUGCAUUAUGUUGACAGGUGUUCUUAAUAAACUGACAAUUGAGUGGCAAUAGAGGAUAUCUGCUUGAAACCAUGUUUCUCUUUCAUUAUUACCAGCCCUUAGGCUUGAUGAACUGCGCUAUUCACACUUAAAAUCUCAUCGUAGUGUACUGUACUGUAUAUGCACUAUACUGUAGCAAGUAAGCAAAUAUGUGUGAAUGUACUGUCUUUAAAACUUCAAUUUUUAAAUGACAGUGGACAUCUUGUAAAAGACAUCGAAAAGGUCGACCAAAACCAGGAGAUUUCAGCCUGAAACAAAGCUGGUUAACAGCAUGACAAGUGUAUAAUAUGGUAUUAAAACGGGCCCACAUUGGAGCCAAUUGUAGAUCAAUAUAUAGCAUUUACUGAUCAUUUUUCACCAAUAUUUUGUGUUGUUUGUCAGUAGUUUGGGUAUUUUGGUACUCUAAAUAUUCAGUAGACUCAGUGUAGUUUCCUGCAUUUCUUCUAUACCAGUUUCAGAGCUGCAGCUCAGACUUUGUGCCCCCCCAAAAAGGUAUGCAUUUUUUAACUUGUAUAAUAAAU